rnacentral:tRNA from 1 species
UUAACUGAAGCCAAAACUGAGGCAUCUUAAUGUUAAUAAGAAAAAUGAUAAAUUAUCCAGUUAAC